UGGGGAAUAUUGGACAAUGGGCGAAAGCCUGAUCCAGCCAUGUCGCAUGAGUGAAGAAGGCCUUUGGGUUGUAAAGCUCUUUUAGUGAGGAAGAUAAUGACGGUACUCACAGAAGAAGUCCUGGCUAACUCCGUGCCAGCAGCCGCGGUAAUACGGAGAGGGCUAGCGUUAUUCGGAAUUAUUGGGCGUAAAGGGCGCGUAGGCUGAUUAAUAAGUUAAAAGUGAAAUCCCGAGGCUUAACCUUGGAAUUGCUUUUAAAACUAUUAAUCUAGAGAUUGAAAGAGGAUAGGGGAAUUCCUGAUGUAGAGGUAAAAUUCGUAAAUAUUAGGAGGAACACCAGUGGCGAAGGCGUCUAUCUGGUUCAAAUCUGACGCUGAGGCGCGAAAGCGUGGGGAGCAAACA
rnacentral:rRNA from 1 species